GAAAUGCGAUAAGUAAUGUGAAUUGCAGAAUUCAGUGAAUCAUCGAAUCUUUGAACGCACCUUGCGCUCCUUGGUAUUCCGAGGAGCAUGCCUGUUUGAGUGUCAUGGAAUUCUCAACUCUAUUUGCUUUUGUGAAUAGAGCUUGGAUUUGGAGGUUUAUUGCUGGUACUUGUGAUCGGCUCCUCUUGAAUGCAUUAGCUCAAACCUUUGCGGAUCAGCUAUCGGUGUGAUAAUUGUCUACGCCGUUGCAGUGAAGCAUAUCAAUGGGCUCGGCUUCCAAUCGUCCUUUACUGGACAAUGACUUUGACCUUUGACCUCAAAUCAGGUAGGAUUACCCGCUGAACUUAAGC
rnacentral:misc_RNA from 1 species